AUUGAACGCUGGCGGCAGGCCUAACACAUGCAAGUCGAGCGAGCGGCGGACGGGUGAGAAAUGUAUGAAGAUGUGCCCGAUAGAGGGGGAUCACUAGUAGAAAGGGUCGCUAACACCGCAUGCUAUCGGAUGCACAGAUAUGGGAUUAGCUAGUAGGUGAGGGAAUGGCACACCUAGGCAACGCUCUCUAGCUGGUCUGCGAGGAUGAUCAGCCACACUGGGACUGAGACACGGACCAGACUCCUACGGGAGGCAGCAGUGGGGAAUAUUGCACAAUGGGCGCAAGCCUGAUGCAGCCAUGCCGCGUGUGUGAAGAAGGCCUUAGGGUUGUAAAGUACUUUCAGCGGGGAGGCGUUACCCGCAGAAGAAGCACCGGCUAACUCCGUGCCAGCAGCCGCGGUAAUUC
rnacentral:rRNA from 1 species